UACGUAGGGUGCAAGCGUUAAUCGGAAUUACUGGGCGUAAAGCGUGCGCAGGCGGUUUUGUAAGUCUGUCGUGAAAUCCCCGGGCUCAACCUGGGAAUUGCGAUGGAGACUGCAAGGCUAGAAUCUGGCAGAGGGGGGUAGAAUUCCACGUGUAGCAGUGAAAUGCGUAGAGAUGUGGAGGAACACCGAUGGCGAAGGCAGCCCCCCUGGGAUAACACUGACGCUCAUGCACGAAAGCGUGGGGAGCAAACAGG
rnacentral:rRNA from 1 species